rnacentral:rRNA from 1 species
AAUAGAUACCCGGGUAGUCCACGCCGUAAACGAUGAGUGCUAAGUGUUAGAGGGUUUCCGCCCUUUAGUGCUGCAGCUAACGCAUUAAGCACUCCGCCUGGGGAGUACGGCCGCAAGGCUGAAACUCAAAGGAAUUGACGGGGGGCCCGCACAAGCGGUGGAGCAUGUGGUUUAAUUCGAAGCAACGCGAAGAACCUUACCAGGUCUUGACAUCCUCUGCCAACCCUAGAGAUAGGGCGUUCCCCCUUCGGGGGGACAGAGUGACAGGUGGUGCAUGGUUGUCGUCAGCUCGUGUCGUGAGAUGUUGGGUUAAGUCCCGCAACGAGCGCAACCCUUGAUCUUAGUUGCCAGCAUUCAGUUGGGCACCCUAAGGUGACUGCCGGUGACAAACCGGAGGAAGGUGGGGAUGACGUCAAAUCAUCAUGCCCCCUUAUGACCUGGGCUACACACGUGCUACAAUGGAUGGUACAAAGAGCUGCGAACCCGUGAGGGUAAGCGAAUCUCAUAAAGCCAUUCUCAGUUCGGAUUGUAGG